AUACAAGUAGCUGCCCUGAUUGUGUCUCUUCGGAGUCAAGACAUCACUGCCACGACAGAUCUCCAGGAACCACGAGGAGAAGAGGGGAAGAAUUCGGCUUAGCUGAGAGAGACAGCAUGGAUACUGGGGCCCCUUAAGACCCCCACCAUCACCCCUACCCUUUCCUGUCUCCGUUUGUCCCUCUCGAGCACUCUCGGCAGCGAUAACAGCCUCUCAUUACCAAGCUGCAGCCCCACAGAGACGUGGGAUCAGUAACUAGCACUCGUCAGCACAUCACAGAGUGGAGACGUGGGCGGUGCAUCUUAUCCAGCACAAAGACACGCAGACUGCCUCCAAAGACAUUUUUGAAGGUAUGAGUGGAAGGGAUUGGGAUGCAACAGCAAUGUCGGCCAAGAAGUGGAAGGCCACGUAAAACCUCAGUGCACAGAAACCUCCAAAAACUGUACGGCUUUCAGAUUAGUUCAAAAACAGCACAUACAGAGCUUAAUGGACUGGAUUUACAUGGCCCAGCAGGUGCUUUUAAGUCUUACAUCACCAAGUGAAAGGUAAAGCAAAUGCAGUAGACUGUGGGCCAAAUGUCUGUCAUAUUUCGGAUGGGGGUGUGCUCCAGCACACCCGAUUGAAAUGAAUUCCUUACCUCCUUAGCAUCAGGGCUGUAGAAACCUGGUUAUAGUUAAUUUACUUAAGUCAGGUGUGUGGCAGCAGGGGGCUGUGUCAAAUGUGCAGGUAGGUGGGUCUACACCAGUGGAGAUAUUUUCUCUAGGUUUGGCAUGUGCCAGGAGAAAAGGCCUUUUCUGACUGCAUUGACGGAUCUAAGAUUUGGUACAGAAGAGAUUGUGGUGUGGGCCUGUUUUUUCACACAUUUGGCUUUACAAUUUAAUUUCAGUCAAAGUAACUCUUGAUGCUUUACUAUGCCAAAUGUUUUGGACAAUUUCAUUCUCCCAAAUCUCCCAACUCUGUUGGAAGAGUUUGGGAUGGACCCUUUAAUGUCCCUACUUGUCUGUGCAAAGGUCCUGGAGUCUUGACUGACCUGGAUUGAGUAUUUCAACCUGAUAAAUCACUAUUUUGGUUGAAUCAGAGUGGAGACUGUGAGUGAAGCUUUGGAGGAGUUUAAGUAGAUUUGCUUAAAAGUGUGCUGCUUUGGUUUUAUAGUAUAUCUCUUUUGUUGCUCAAAUAUACUUGAACCUGGAGAUGAGCACAUGGACAAAACAGAAACAGACUUC